CCAGUGUUAGUUGCCACCACAAUUCCAAGCCUGUAGGUAUUGCUGCAGGCAAGUUCCAACAGUGAGAAGAACUCACACAUGAAGUGGUCAAUGACAUUGGGACCACAGAAGGUCAACUCACAUGUGAAAAUAAUCUGCACAGUGGCAUGCAGGAUCCCCCCAACCCAGGCCACCACAACCAGGAGCUGGCAGAACCCAUGUCUCAUGAUGGUCGUGUAGUGCAGAGGCUUGCAGAUGGCCACAUAGCGGUCAUAAGCCAUGGCAAUGAGGACAAUCAUCUCUGAUCCUCCCAGGAAGUGUUCCAAAAAGAGCUGAGUCAGGCAGCCACCCCAGGAGAUGGUUGUCCUCUGAUAGAGCAGGUCAAAAAUCAUUUUGGGGGUGGUGACAGAGGAGAAGGAGGCAUCAAUGAAGGCCAAGUAAGUGAGAAAGAAGUACAUGGGGGCCGAAAGUGUGGGGCUGAGGGAGAUGGUAAUGACAAUGAACAGAUUGGCCAGCAAGGUAAAUAGGAAAAUGGACAAAAAGACAGUGAAGAGUAUUUUCCGCAAGUGUGGAUUCUGUGUGAGUCCCAAGAGAACAAAUUCAGUCACAUUGUUGGGAAGCGUGAGGAAAUCCAUUUAGGAAGUAACACCUUCCUGAGAGGCCUGAAUUACCUAUAACAGAAUAAAAGAAAAUGACAUUUCUUAAUUAUGAAAAGAUGUAGCAUGCAUUUCUGAGAAAUUAACUACAGUAACCACUGUGCCAAAUGUCUUUGACAUUUUUGCCCCAGUACUUUUUUUUCCCCUAUCAUUCUUACUUUCUUCGUGAUGAUUUACAUCUCUUCAGAAACAUACUACCAGUCACUGAAGAAAUUUAUAUAGGGGAACAUUGGAUGUGCAAUUUACUGAGAAAACACUGUGCUGUCUACAAGAGAUCAGGUUUCUCCUCCUGAUUCUAAAUCUAAGUGACUUUUCCAAGUCAUCUCAGUGCCCCAUACUCCUGAGCCUCUGUGUGUGUGUGUGUGUGAACUUACACAUUGUAAUUCUCAAAUGUGUCUCAUAAGCUGAGAGUUGCCCCAGGAUUUAAGAAUUAUUCCCUCUUCAAUGUUAAUUGACAUUUGAUCACUCAGCUCUAAAUGUGCAAAGAAAUACACCAUCAGUAAAUAUCUAUCAUAAGCAGAGUAUUACUAGAAAUAUAUAUAAGUCAUCAGUGACACACUCUCCCUGGUACCCCCCCGCCCCAGAACAUAUAACUUACUCAAGUGUGUUUUCUCACAUAGAGUAAUUCUGGGUGUCUGCAGUGUCUGCAACCUAUUAGGUGAUGAGUAAAUGCUUAGUGGAUUCCCAUUCUCCAUGUGUAAGAAUAAGACUGCUUCUCCAGACAGUAAACCUGAGGAGAAUUCAAGUGCUCUAGUUCUCCUGCUCUGUUUAUCAUUACUCUUUACAUUAUGAGUUACAUAAAUGAACACUGUGUGGAAGCUGCUCUCCAGUUUAAUAGUUUCUGAUACACUUUAUGGGGUAAUAUGAAAAUAUUUAAUUGCCACUGGGAAAAACUACACUACUGAAUCAUUUACUUUAGAUAAUUAGUGUGUUAAUUAUUUUUUAUUCUUCAAAAUUAUGUUCAACAUACAAUUUUAAAUAGUCAUAUUCAGUACAUGUACAACUUCUGUAUACUUGCUUAAAACAAAACAAAAUAAAACAAACAAAACAAAACUCUUGCUGGAGUUCCCACUCUGGCAAACUAGGUUAAGUUCUGAUCAUGUGUCAGCAGUUCAGAUCAAUCAGGAGAUUCAAUUCCUAGCUCAGCACACUGGGUUAAAGAUCAAGCAUUGCUACUGCUGGGUCACAGGUUACAGCUGUGACUUGGGUUCAAUCCCUAACCUGUGAAUUUCCAUGUGCUGUGGUACAGACAUAUAAAUUAAAACAAACAAAAACCUCUUGCAUAGGUGUUCUUUACUGAAGGAUCUCUGGAGCAAAGAAAUCUUUACUUUCAAAGUUUUAGAAAUAAAAAUUAAAUGUGGAGAACAGAGAGAAUUAGUCUGAUAGGUAAGACAGUGAGGUAGAUAAUGUACUAUACAUAUAUGCACAGAUUAACACAAACACAUAUAAGAUCUACUCUUUAGUAUAAAUACCUACUAAAGUUUACUCAUUCAAAAAAUAUUUAUUGGACACUUGCUUUGUAUAUGAACGUGUUCGCAGAAAGUCUUGGAGAGUCUCCCUGUUAAAUACCCUAAAUGGCUGAAAUUUCUUUACCAGAGAGCAGCAAGACAUCCAUCCAUGAUAUGAAUGACCUUCCCACACCUUCAUAUUUCUGCUACAUGCAUUCUCAUGCAUUCUUCUCCCAUCAUCAAUAUAUCCUUCCUCCAUCAUUCCUGGUUACAAGUUACUGCAUUACUAAUAGAAUGAUAAAUUUGGGAACAUUAAUUUCCUAAGAAAAGAGAAGAGAUAAAUGUAAUAAAAUAUAUUCAACAAAACUAUUUUAUUUCAAAGAUAAAUGAGUAUGAAAAUUCUAUACAUAUGUGGAAACAAAGUGUAGCAGCUCAUUGCAAUCUCUUAUUCUAAGGUUGGCUCCCCUAACAGAUCAGAAAAGAAUACAGUGUACAUAAAAUAACUGUUCGACAUAAUUAAGAAAAGUGUUUUAGAAAAAACUACGAAGAAAUAUAAAUCAUUUUUUUCCAUUUUUCUUUGGCUCCAUAAUACAUCAUCUAAGAAUAAACCCCAAAGGGACAUAUUUUCAAGGAGAAAAAUCAUUAUUUCCAUAUAUGUCAAUGCAAUUAUUAAGAGCUAGUGAAAAUUUCAGCAUUGGAGAAAUGGAUAAUUAAAACAUAGUGUGACUCUUUGAUUAAUGUUUAGUUGUUAACAGAGGUGUUUAAAAAUUGUGCAAUAUUGUAAGAAAACAUUUAUGUUUUAUUCUUAAGUGGUGAACAUUUUGGAUGCAAAUUUGAAUUGUAGAAUUAUUCCAAUUUAAACCUAAUUACUUUUGUUAUUAUUCUAUUUUAAAUUUAUAUCAAUAAGAAAAAAAUCCCAAAAUAUUUUUAUUUCUAAGUUGGUAGUAUUAUACUUGAGUAUUUUUAUCAUGAUGUUUUGUGUGCUGAAAAGAGAUUUUGCCAUGAGAUGGUUGAGGAUGAAUGGUAAUAUUAUGAUUUGUAAGAUCCAUGUAAACCUGAGAGUCUAUAAUUAUUUAACUUCCUAGAAAAAAAUCUUACCUAUAAACUUGUCUGGCAUAACUCCAUGGCCAGGUCCCCAGGAAGGUAUUCGUUCACCAGGAAAGAUGGUGUAAGAUUACAAAUGCCAACUACAACUCAGCUACAUGAUUCUUUGUUAAUUUAUAAAUGACAUCUUUGGAUAAGCCUUAAAAGUGCAACUGCAUAUACUUUUCGCAGAUAAAUUCUCUAAAGUUUUUAGCUGUGGCUAAUGGGACCUCAGGGGUAUUUUACCACCAUUAGCAGACCUUGCUGACAACCCAAUCAUUUCAUAUAAGAUAAGCAAACAGCAGGGGAGAACUUUUAUAGCAUUCCUCUUUAGUUUCAAAUGCAUCCUUGAGUUUACAUGAACACAAAAAUGGUGUAAGAAAAACAAAAAUGUUGACCCCUAAUUAAUUUAGGUAUUUGCAAACAUAUGGACUUAUUAUGGAGUCUGGAUAUUUAGUAUUGUGCAAAUUAAGCAUUUAGGGUGGCAACUACCUGAUUUUUAAAUGUUAUUACAAUAACAUUUUAAAUUGAUCUACAACUCAUGCAUCAUAAUUUUUAAAUAUGGAUUUCAAGUAUAAAUUAAGUGAUAAUUAUGAACCCUAUUAAAAUAUUGGCACUUCACAUGAGGGAAAGUUUACAGCACUUCUUCAAAGUGUUAUUUCUUGUGCCAAUUCUGAAAUUAAAUUAUCAUGAUAAUGAGUAAAAUCAUUUUAUUUUUCAAUUAUACUUAGAGAUGAUAAGUUGCAUUUAUUUCAUUCCUUUAACAGUAAUUGUACAAUAUACAAAUAGAAGAGAGAAUUGGUGAUAAUAUUCACAAUUUAUAAUAAAUUAAUAUAAGACAGGGAAUAAGAAUGUCACUUGCCAGAGGCAAAAAAGAAACCAGGCCAUGAAAUUCUGGGCCAGGAUUUUCAUCUUUAAAAGUAUUGUUUUACAACUAAAUUUGCAUGACAUAUUUAUAAUGCUACCAACUAUUAAGGCCAAUUAUACCUACCUAGUAAAAGAAAUAAAUUCCAAAAUUUGAAAUAGUUUGUAAAUAAAUUUAAUUUGACUCAUAAACUUCCCUGUAUAGAUGCACUUUAAUCAUAUUCAAAUAUGUUUGCAUUAAUAAGAAGAAAAGUAAACUGUUCAUCACUCUGGAUGGGCUCCAGAGAAUGUGGAGCCCACUAGUGAGCAACAUGAUUCAUGAAGGAAAAGAGCUGAAGAAAUUUGAAACCAUAGGACUGAACCUAGUUUUACUGGACACGUCAAUACUAUAGUGCUGAAAUAAUAUUAGCAACAGCCGAUGCCAAAGACAGUGUGAAUGAGGAUUUGGAACUAUCUAAAGAAUUAUAAGGAAUAUGGAUUUAGCUGAAGUGUCAUGUUGAAAAUGCCUUGAACUUGCGUUUCUACUCCGAAAUGAAAGCCAGAGUCAAAUCAGAGAGUAAGAAUGUAUAGAGUCAUCAUUCCCAACCUUAUGAAGGAUUGAAAUCCAUUCACAAUUUUUCAUUAAAAGGUCAUCCAGCUUCUAUUUAAAAAGUUACAGUGCUGGGUAGAGAAUAAGGAUAAAACCCUUACAUAUUUAGUCUAGCUGCCUAAGAUGACUCUUAGAAGAUAAUUGUAAUGGUGUGAUUCUAGGUAUAGGAAGGAGGAAGAAGGGAAACUAUUUCUUGGAUCAAUUAGACUUGUAAGACAGAGGAUCCCAAGAAGUUACAUUUUCAACAGGGCUUAAUACAUAAAUUAUCAUUGGGAGUGGCAUGCCAACAGUAUGUAUUUCACCCAAUUUGGGAUAAAUUUCCAACUGCCAUAGGACAAAAAUUGUUCAUGAAAUGUGUGACGGAUAUUGGUUGACUUUUGGAACAAAGGGAGGGGCUGUGAACUAAGAUAUUGCAGGCCAUGUGAAUAAACAAAUGUUGCCGCAGCUAUCAGGCCACCACAUUACAGCCACCUUGAAGCUAAGCCCUGAGGGAACUCAGGAUGGAAACAAAAAGGACCAGCCAUUUAGCAGCCACCUGCUGCAGAGAUCCCAGAUGGGGCACCCUGAGGAGACUGAGGAUGAGAAAGCGCAGGACACUGACCCAGAGAGCUGAGGUGCCUAACCAGGGAAUGAUUGCAGUGAGCCCAGACCCUGCAUCUUCCUAUGCAUGGAAAAGCUCUAAGUUCCUUAACUCAAGAUAGGGGGGUUUCUUUUAUUAAUAGUAAUCUUCAUGUUAUGACUUCCCGCUCUUGUUUUUGUAAAAACUCCCAUGUAUCUGUUCUCCUACCCAUGCCUGUUCAUAACAGUUUCUCUCCAUUAUCUGAGAUACUCUAUCCCAGGCUUGAGUCCUCAAAAUAUCCACCAAAUAAAACAUAAUUCUCAAAUUUUAUUUUAUUUUAUUUUUGUUGAUACUUUGUAGACCCACCACUUAUUAGGAGGAGUCUCUUUUAUCUAUUGUAUAUUCUUGCAUCCUUGAAGAACGCCAUGCACAACCUAGUAAACACAUUCUCCCCCAUACCAUCCUGGGGCAUUAAUGUAUGUUCAAAUUAAUGUAUGUUCAAAUUAUGGAAGAAAUGGCUCAGAUUGACCACUGACUUGGAGAAAGUGAUUCUGAGAGAAGUCACAUGAGGUGGAAUGUUGUAGGCAGAGAUGUAAUAAUGUAGACUCACCCAGUAUUCUCCACACACUUAGAAGCACAUUGCAGGCAUCUCCCACUUUCUGAAGGUUCACAUUUGCUAUUUUGAUUUUAUGAAGGUCUAUGUUAGUGCAUAUUUUCACUUGUGAGAAAAACAUCUGAAGGGUAUUUUUGCUUUUACACACACACACACACACACACACAUAAACCUGUUGCCAUCCUAGUAUUGGUCUUUUGUAAAUGUGAACUGGCAUAACUUGAACUUUCAAAGAAAGAAAAAUACUUAUGGUGCUGAAAUAUAUUGCUCUAUGUGAGAUUAAUUCUACAACAUAUGGAUGAUAUCUCAUGUUUUUCAAAGUGGAUUAUUAAGAAAGCAAAUAAUGUUGUUGUCUACAGACUUAAACAUACCACAGGUAAUCAUAUUUCAGUAUAAAGAAAGUAGGUUUGAAUUUUGAUGGCUUUGUAGCUGAAACUUUGAAAUCAAGCUGCAUUCCAGUGUAAUAUUUCCUAGCAUACUUUAUGGAGGAUGCAUGUGUGUUGUGAGAGGCAGGUAAAUUAGUAAAACUCUUUUGGCUUUAAUUUUCUUUUCCAGAGUUCCCAUCGUGGUGCAGUGGUUAAUGAAUUCGAUUAGGACCAUGGGGUCGCGGGUUUGAUCCCUGGCCUUGCUUAGCAGGUUGGGGAUCUGGCUUUCCUGUGAGUUGUGGUAUGGGCUGCAGACAUGGCUUGGAUCCCACCUUGCUGUGGCUCUGGUGUAGGCCGGUGGCUACAGCUCCGAUUCGACCCCUAGCUUGGGAACCUCCAUAUGCCGCAAGAGCAGCCCAAGAAAUAGCAAAAAGACAAAAAAAAAAAAGAAAAAA
rnacentral:lncRNA from 1 species